rnacentral:lncRNA from 1 species
ACAGUGCCUUCCAAAACCAAAAUGAAAGAAAGUGUGCAACUUUCUGGCUGUUUAUUAUAAGCGUACAAGCCAAGCCACAAACCCAGCAAGAUUUGCCCCAACCACUAUAGCACGUAUGACACAUUAUAUUGAGGAACAUGUUGCACUGUCUACAGAAUUCUCAACUAGACAUUGGAAAACCUGAAGAAGUGCAACAAGUUUUGCACAUGCGGCGAGAAGCUCUUCACAUUUUUGUUGCUGACAAUGACAACCCGCUCCCUGAAAGAGUAGCUGAAAAAAGGUGGCAUGGUGUGAUGCAGGCAUGCACACUGCUGCAUCAAUGUGAUAAUUAAGUCAAAAUGAAUGAGGCGAUGAAUGUAACUUAAAUUUGUUCUGCUACAUUCUACAAAUGAGGUUUAAAAAAUUGACAGAUUUGUUUGAAUUCCUUUAAGUCAGGUAAGUUGAUGUAAUCCAAUUGGUGGAUCAGAAGAGUAGGUCCUGCCUGCAAGGUACUGUACGUAUUUUUGAAAGACUAGAGAAAAGAAUGCAAUCAAUUUUGUGUGUCAACAUUUAAAGUAGACUGAAUUUUUUUCAUGCCAAUCCUCAAGGCUUUACUGCAGCUCCUACAAAGAUCCCUCAGAGAUGAAAAAACAAUAAGCUUGUUGGUAAUUGCUUUCAAUGUGAAGAGAUUAUAUUUCCAUCAAAAAAAAGGCGGUGAAGAGACUAGAUGUACAACUAGCAUACAGCCAAAUAGCUGAUGUUAUUAGCAAGUGAAGAUAAGAAAGCAAUGGCAUAAAGUCAACUUUGAAGAUGAAGCACAAAUUUUGUGCUGGAAAGAAUAAUGGAAAGUGGAGUUCUGUGAAGAACUGACCAGUUCAUAAAGAAUUAUAACUGUGGGUGUAAAUCAUUUUUCAAAUGACGGAGACAGGUUGUGAGAUUUUGUACACACUGGAACUAUGUGGAGGUAGAACAGAGAAUGACUAAUUUUCCAGAAUGAUAUAUCAUAACUUAUUCCAAUGAUGAGCAAAGAAUGUUUUAUUUAUCCUUGACCAAAUGUCAUCAAUGGGUGCCUAGUGGUCAAUCAUCAAGAUUACAAUUAUAGCAGAUGCCAUACUCCAUCAUCCCAAGUACACCUUUCCACCAUCCACCAACAAGUUCCAUAAGGAACAAACAAAGUAAGACCCCCAAACCUCCACAUCAAUUUCCUUCAUUUAUCAAUUACCUUCCCUAGAUCUUGCGAGGAUAUACACAGACAAACAUUAUUGCUCACAGGAACCUCCUCAUUUGAGUGAUGAUGAGGCACUUACAACCAGCAACCCUCUGACUUUCAAAAUCCAUGUUGCCACUGCUUUGUCAUGAUCAGACACCAAAGCCACAAGUUCAAUAAUCAGUACUCUAUGUCAAGUUAACCCUUGUUGUAUGUCUCCCAAUGUUGAACCUAUGUGAAAAUUUCCGUUCUUUAUUUCUUUCUAACAAUGCCUCUGCUCAGAUGAAAGAAUAGCAACUGCUUGAGCAUCCUGGUGCUCCUAAAACACCUUCUAGUCACUAUUUUCUCCUACAAAAGCCAUCACUUUAAUACCUUGGUCCCUAAAACAUUCUCCAGCAGCCUAUAAUCCAAGGAUCUUUCCUAGCUUUACUUUGAUCCGACAGAAGCCCCAAAUCAAAUUUCUCUACUUUUGUUUCUAAGAGACCAUUUUUUUCUACCCAUAAUUAACUAAAACAAAAGUCUGAGGCUAAAAUUUAACCAGAAAAAAGAAAUGCCACUAAAAUAGAAGUAACUCUACUUCAUAUGACACCGUUAGGCUUCUAGCCUGAAAGUUGCCUGUCCUUUUUAUUCUUUAGGCUAGUUCAAUCCCCAAGAGAGUAUACAUCCCAUUAAGCCCACAGACAUUUGAGGCCUAUAGACGUCCAUCCAUGUAGCAAUACUGUAACUUUACAAGGACUAAAGCAAUACUGUAACUUUACAAGGACUAAAGCCUAUCACUCUUCAGAAAAAUCUGAAGCAACCUGAAGGACUAAUCUAUGCUAUCUUUGCUCAUAAACAAACGUAUUAUAACACAGUAGGGUAUCAUUAAAAUUAAAAUAUAUUUCAUCCAGAAUAUUCAACUAACUGACUACUCACCUUUACUCCUUCAAGCACAUUAGUUCAUUGCUAAGUUAUAUUAUUUACAAGAACAAAAGUGCAAAUCUGAUGAUCAUUAUGUGAUUUCACCCAUUUGGUCAUUCCCAACAACCAUCAAAAAAAGUUGUUGGCAAUCAAGUAACUGUUAACAAAAGCACAUUGGAUUAAUGAAGCAAGGGACACAUUUCCAUUAAAAUUUACCCCAGGACUUUCAAGAAUGGUGUAUUCUCCAUAUAGUAGGCCUGUUAUGAGAAUCCUCAUCACAUCUCCUUUAACAGUACAUUAGAAUCAUUCAAAGAACAUGAUGGGUAAGACGAUUAGUGCCAAGUUCCAUCUGAUCUUGCAUUUAUUGCCUAUUUGGCUCCUAAGCAAGAUUUCUUUCCAAUGCAUUAACUGGAUAACCAUAAAUGUUUCAAUGUGAAGUUAACCAAGCUAGAUCACUACUUAAUUGCUUCCUCAUAUGAAGUUCUCAUCCUCCUUGAAGAUUUUGUUCUUGUCCUCAAACCCUAGUAUUGCAACUUCUCGCAUUGUGAAAAAAAUUGGCAUCUCUAUCAGCUCUUUUAUAAUAAACUAGGCCAAGUUUCUGCCCAGUUCCUGUUUUCUCUUAAGUCAUGCUAUCAAUCCAAUCUUCGGCUAAUCAGUUUCAAAUUUCUCACUCAAAGAUUUUAUCUCCUUUGUUUCUCCUUAUAAAUCUCUAUAUUUCUCCCAACAAUCUUAAAAUUCUUCCCAUGGUUUCUGAAAAUUUCUUUAUUUCAUUACUGAAUCAAACAGUCAGCUUUAAUUUAAAAAUAUCAAUCACAUUACACCAUGUAUGUCUGCCCUCAUCAAACUCUUUUAAUACACCUUAACUUCACCUUUUCCAAGCUGAAAGAUUUCGGACUCCUUUAGAACUCCCUGGACCGAGUAAAAACAUUCUUUUCCUAAAACAGAAAAAGGAAGAAAAAAAAGGAUCAAGUAGGUACAGGACUAUGCAAGCCACAAGCAUCAAGAGAUUUGUUCCCCUGCACUUGUGGUACGCCUCAAGCAGCAAUGUAUGCAAUUUUUCAAGUACAUGCUCACAGGCACAAAAAAAAGGAGUAAGCUAGACCUCAAGCUCCUCACUUUUACCAUGUAACAAGAUACAUUACUUUUACUGUUCCACAUAGCAGCAAUUAUAAUCAAGAUUCCCAUCAGUAUUCCAGGACACAAAAAACUCUUAACACCUAUUCCCCCAUAUAUUUCCAAAAAUAACAUAAUUAAGUUCAAUGGACAAAUUAGUGUGGAUUACUUUCAAACAUGGAAUUUCCAUCAAUGGGACCUUAAUUAUCCGAACAUCUGAAAUGUGAACUCUAAAUCAUUUUUCAAAGAUCAUAAACAAACCACUUAAGGAAGUAUUUGAGCAUUCUUAAGUUUUCCGCUAACACACACACACACACACACAUACAUACAUACAUACAUAUAUCUAUAUAUAUAUAUAUACAUAUAUAUAUAUAUAACUACACACACACACACAUAUAUAUAUAGAUACACACACACACACACACACACNNNNNNNNNNNNNNNNNNNNNNNNNNNNNNNNNNNNNNNNNNNNNNNNNNNNNNNNNNNNNNNNNNNNNNNNNNNNNNNNNNNNNNNNNNNNNNNNNNNNNNNNNNNNNNNNNNNNNNNNNNNNNNNNNNNNNNNNNNNNNNNNNNNNNNNNNNNNACAAACACACAAACACACACACACACAUACAUACAUACAUAUCCAUACAUACAUACAUACAUAUACAUCUAGAUACAUACAU